UGGGGCGUCGUUCAAUGGCAGGACACCUGGUUCUGGCCCAGGCAAUCUAGGUUCGAAUCCUAGCGCCCCAGCCA
rnacentral:tRNA from 1 species